rnacentral:misc_RNA from 1 species
GGGCACCAAAGGUCUAUCCUCAGCGGCUCUUUUCCAUUUCUAUUCGCUUGCAUUUAUGAUCUCCUUACUGAAAUGUUUUGGAACCCAUAAAUGAUUAACCUCUACCCAAUAUAAAUGCAACACCUAUAGUAGAUUCUGAUCUUGUGGAUGGAUGGUUCUGUUCUAACUUCUAAUACCCUCAUGAGGACUGAUUGCUUUUCAUGGUUCUUACCGGUAGCUCUAUUGGAAUGCAGGUAAAAGCGAUGGAGUUGAUU